rnacentral:rRNA from 1 species
UGGGGAAUAUUGGACAAUGGGCGCAAGCCUGAUCCAGCCAUGCCGCGUGAGUGAUGAAGGCCCUAGGGUUGUAAAGCUCUUUCAGCGAGGAGGAUAAUGACGUUACUCGCAGAAGAAGCCCCGGCUAACUUCGUGCCAGCAGCCGCGGUAAUACGAAGGGGGCUAGCGUUGUUCGGAAUCACUGGGCGUAAAGCGCACGUAGGCGGACUUUUAAGUCAGGGGUGAAAUCCCGGGGCUCAACCUCGGAACUGCCUUUGAUACUGGAAGUCUGGAGUCCGAGAGAGGUGAGUGGAACUCCGAGUGUAGAGGUGAAAUUCGUAGAUAUUCGGAAGAACACCAGUGGCGAAGGCGGCUCACUGGCUCGGUACUGACGCUGAGGUGCGAAAGCGUGGAGAGCAAACAGGAUUAGAUACCCUGGUAGUCCACGCCGUAAACGAUGGAAGCUAGCCGUCAGGGUGCAUGCAUCUUGGUGGCGCAGUUAACGCAUUAAGCUUCCCGCCUGGGGAGUACGGUCGCAAGAUUAAAACUCAAAGGAAUUGACGGGGUCAUAGCUG